GCUCCUUCUGUUCCACGAGCGCGAGACGAGCAGCAGCGAUUCAUCCAACGCCAGCUAAAGCGCUUAAAAACGUUCAGCUACAUACAUCGCUUUUCGUGUUCGCUGAAGAAAAUGCGCAACAGAAGCCAUAGGAGUUCUUCUUCGAAUCAGUCCAGUUCUUCUGAACAGCAGCCGGACCAAACC